AACGAACGCUGGCGGCAUGCCUAACACAUGCAAGUCGAACGAGACCUUCGGGUCUAGUGGCGCACGGGUGCGUAACGCGUGGGAAUCUGCCCUUGGGUUCGGAAUAACAGUUGGAAACGACUGCUAAUACCGGAUGAUGACGUAAGUCCAAAGAUUUAUCGCCCAGGGAUGAGCCCGCGUAGGAUUAGCUAGUUGGUGGGGUAAAGGCCUACCAAGGCGACGAUCCUUAGCUGGUCUGAGAGGAUGAUCAGCCACACUGGGACGGAGACACGGCCCAGACUCCUACGGGAGGCAGCAGUGGGGAAUAUUGGACAAUGGGCGAAAGCCUGAUCCAGCAAUGCCGCGUGAGUGAUGAAGGCCUUAGGGUUGUAAAGCUCUUUUACCCGGGAUGAUAAUGACAGUACCGGGAGAAUAAGCCCCGGCUAACUCCGUG
rnacentral:rRNA from 1 species